GAUGAACGCUGGCGGCGUGCCUAAUACAUGCAAGUCGAGCGAACAGACGAGGAGCUUGCUCCUCUGACGUUAGCGGCGGACGGGUGAGUAACACGUGGAUAACCUACCUAUAAGACUGGGAUAACUUCGGGAAACCGGAGCUAAUACCGGAUAAUAUAUUGAACCGCAUGGUUCAAUAGUGAAUGACGGUUUUGCUGUCACUAAUAGAUGGAUCCGCGCCGCAUUAGCUAGUUGGUAAGGUAACGGCUUACCAAGGCAACGAUGCGUAGCCGACCUGAGAGGGUGAUCGGCCACACUGGAACUGAGACACGGUCCAGACUCCUACGGGAGGCAGCAGUAGGGAAUCUUCCGCAAUGGGCGAAAGCCUGACGGAGCAACGCCGCGUGAGUGAUGAAGGUCUUCGGAUCGUAAAACUCUGUUAUUAGGGAAGAACAAAUGUGUAAGUAACUAUGCACGUCUUGACGGUACCUAAUCAGAAAGCCACGGCUAACUACGUG
rnacentral:rRNA from 1 species